GACGAACGCUGGCGGCGUGCUUAACACAUGCAAGUCGAACAGUGGCGAACGGGUGAGUAACACGUGAGUAACCUGCCCUCCACUUUGGGAUAACUCCGAGAAAUCGGGGCUAAUACUGGAUAGUGGGGGAUGGGCUCGCGGCCGAUCAGGUUGUUGGUGGGGUAGUGGUCACCAAGGCGUGACGGGUAGCCGGCGUGAGAGGGCGACCGGCCACACUGGGACUGAGACACGGCCCAGGGUCCUACGGGAGGCAGCAGUGGGGAAUAUUCCACAAUGGGCGAAGGCCGAAGGCAGCGCCGCCGCGUGGGGGAUGACGGCCUUCGGGUUGUAAACCUCUUUCAGCAAGGAAGCGGUACUUGCAGAAGAAGCGCCGGAUAACUUCGUGCCAGCCGCGGUAAUUC
rnacentral:rRNA from 1 species